UACAGAGGGUGCAAGCGUUAAUCGGAAUUACUGGGCGUAAAGCGCACGUAGGCGGAUAGUUAAGUCAGAUGUGAAAUCCCCGGGCUCAACCUGGGAAUGGCAUUUGAAACUGGCUAUCUAGAGUAUGGUAGAGGAAGGUGGAAUUUCAGGUGUAGCGGUGAAAUGCGUAGAUAUCUGAAGGAACACCAGUGGCGAAGGCGGCCUUCUGGACCAAUACUGACGCUGAGGAGCGAAAGCGUGGGUAGCGAACAGG
rnacentral:rRNA from 1 species